rnacentral:rRNA from 1 species
AUUGAACGCUGGCGGCAUGCCUAACACAUGCCAGUCGAGCGAGCGGCGGACGGGUGAGUAAUGUAUGGGGACUGCCCGAUAGAGGGGGAUACCUACUUGAAACGGUAGCUAAUACCGCAUACUAUCGGAUAACCCAUAUGGGAUUAGCUAUUAGGUGAGGUAAUGGAUCACCUCGGCGACGAUCCCUAGCUGGUCUGAGAGGAUGAGCAGCCACAGUGGGACGGAGAGAGGGCCCAGACUACGACGGAGGCAGCAGGGGGGAAUAUUGCACAAUGGGCGCAAGCCUGAUGCAGCAAUGACGCGUGUAUGAAGAAGGCCCUAGGGUUGUAAAGUACUUUCAGUCGGGAGGCGUUACCGAAAGAAGAAGCACCGGCUAACUACGUGCCAGCAGCCGCGGUAAUAC